rnacentral:rRNA from 1 species
AGUGAACGCUGGCGGUAGGCCUAACACAUGCAAGUCGAACGGCAGCACAGUAAGAGCUUGCUCUUACGGGUGGCGAGUGGCGGACGGGUGAGGAAUACAUCGGAAUCUACUUUGUCGUGGGUGAUAACGUAGGGAAACUUACGCUAAUACCGCAUACGACCUACGGGUGAAAGCAGGGGAUCUUCGGACCUUUCGCGAUUGAAUGAGCCGAUGUCGGAUUAGCUAGUUUGCUGGGUAAAGGCCCACCAAGGCGACGAUCCGUAGCUGGUCUGAGAGGAUGAUCAGCCACACUGGAACUGAGACACGGUCCAGACUCCUACGGGAGGCAGCAGUGGGGAAUAUUGCACAAUGGGCGCAAGCCUGAUCCAGCCAUACCGCGUGGGUGAAGAAGGCCUUCGGGUUGUAAAGCCCUUUUGUUGGGAAAGAAAAGAAGCAGGUUAAUACCCUGCUGUUCUGACGGUACCCAAAGAAUAAGCCCCGGCUAACUUCGUG